UGGACCUAGCUUCAAGACGAGAGAGAGGAGCUACUACUGGACCUAGCUUCAAGACAAGGAGAGAGGAGCUAUUAAUGGACCUAGCUUCAAGACGAGAGAGAGGAACAACUACUGGACCUAGCUUCAAGACAAGGAGAGAGGAGCUAUUAAUGGACUUAGCUUCAAGAUGAGAGAGAGGAGCUAUUACUGGACCUAGCUUCAAGACGAGAGAGAGGAGCUACUACUGGACCAAGCUUCAAGACAAGAAGGGAGAGGAGCUACUAUGAAAGCUUGAGUCUACAGAAACUGGAGAGAGAAAGCCCGGAGCUCCCCCAUCUGAUAGCGGAGUCGAAGGAGCACAGCAAGAGGAGCAAGACCAUCAACGAUGGUCGCAUGUCACGAGCCGUGGAAGCCGAAGACAGCAACCUCCGGAAAAGCAGUCUACACUCCCAACAAGAGGCCCGGAUAGGAUACAAACAACAAAUAACGGGUUCGGUGCGCAGAGAGGUUAACAACCCUCCAGGCGAGCUUCAAUGCCCUACAACUCUCUUUCCGUGGCCUCCAAUUGCUCUUGAAUACAAGUAAAGCUAGAUGCAUGCUCUUCAACAGAUCGCUGCCUGCACCUGCCCGCCUGUCCAACAUCACUACUCUGGACGGCUCUGAUUUAGAAUAUGUGGACAACUACAAAUACCUAGGUGUCUGGUUAGACUGUAAACUCUCCUUCCAGACUCACAUCAAACAUCUCAAAUCCAAAGUUAAAUCUAGAAUUGGCGUCCUAUUUUGCAACAAAGCAUCCUUCACUCAUGCUGCCAAACAUACCCUUGUAAAACUGACUAUCCUACCUAUCCUUGACUUCGGCGAUGUCAUUUACAAAAUAGCCUCCAACACUCUACUCAGCAAAUUGAAUGCAAUCUAUCACAUUGCCAUCCGUUUUGUCACCAAAGCCCCAUAUACUAUCCACCACUGCGACCUGUAUGCUCUUGUUGGCUAGCCCUCGCUUCAUAUUCGUCGCCAAACCCACUGGCUCCAGGUCAUCUAUAAGUCCAUGCUAGGUAAAGGCCCACCUUAUCUCAGCUCACUGGUCACCAUAGCAGCACCCACUCGUAGCACACGCUCCAGCAAGUAUAUUUCACUGGUCACCCCCAAAGCCAAUUCCUCUUUGGCCGCCUUUCCUUCCAGUUCUCUGCUGCCAAUUUUAUUUAUUUAUUUCACCUUUAUUUAACCAGGUAGGCAAGUUGAGAACAAGUUCUCAUUUACAAUUGCGACCUGGCCAAGAUAAAGCAAAGCAGUUCGACACAUACAACAACACAGAGUUACACAUGGAGUAAAACAAACAUACAGUCAAUAAUACAGUAUAAACAAGUCUAUAUACGAUGUGAGCAAAUGAGGUGAGAUAAGGGAGGUAAAGGCAAAAAAAGGCCAUGGUGGCAAAGUAAAUACAAUAUAGCAAGUAAAACACUGGAAUGGUAGAUUUGCAAUGGAAGAAUGUGCAAAGUAGAAAUAAAAAAUAAUGGGGUGCAAAGGAGCAAAAUAAAUAAAUAAAUUAAAUACAGUAGGGAAAGAGGUAGUUGUUUGGGCUAAAUUAUAGGUGGGCUAUGUACAGGUGCAGUAAUCUGUGAGCUGCUCUGCUUUGACAGUUGGUGCUUAAAGCUAGUGAGGGAGAUAAGUGUUUCCAGUUUCAGAGAUUUUUGUAGUUCGUUCCAGUCAUUGGCAGCAGAGAACUG
ensembl:lncRNA